ensembl:misc_RNA Metazoa_SRP Metazoan signal recognition particle RNA
GCCAGGCAUGGUGGCACAUGCCUGUAGUCCCAGCUACUAGGGAGGCUGAGGUGGGAGGAUCACUUGAACUCAGGAGGUUGAGACUAGAGUGAGCUAUGAUCAUGCCUCUGCACUCCAGCCCUGGGAGACAGAGCAAGACCCUGUCUCAAAAUAAUAAAUAAAUAAACAGGCUGGGCACAGUGACUCAUUCCUGUAAUCCCAGGACUUUGGGAGGCCAAGGCAGGUAGAUCACUUGAGGUCAGAAGUUUGCGAGCAGCCUGACCAACAUGGUGAAACCCCAUCUUU